rnacentral:rRNA from 1 species
AGAGUUUGAUCAUGGCUCAGGAUGAACGCUGGCGGCGUGCCUAACACAUGCAAGUCGUACGAGCUCGAUCUUCGGAACGGGUUAGUGGCGCACGGGUGAGUAACACGUAGGUGACCUACCCCAGAUGGGGGAUAACUUCUCGAAAGAGAGGCUAAUACCGCAUACACUCGGUCAUUCAUUUGGCCGAGCAAAGCUCCGGCGCUUUGGGACGGGCCUGCGUCCGAUUAGCUAGUUGGUAGGGUAAUGGCUUACCAAGGCUUUGAUCGGUAGCUGGUCUGAGAGGACGAUCAGCCACACUGGCACUGACACACGGGCCAGACUCCUACGGGAGGCAGCAGUGAGGAAUAUUGGGCAAUGGGCGAAAGCCUGACCCAGCAACGCCGCGUGAGGGAUGAAGGCCUUCGGGUUGUAAACCUCUUUUCUGGGAGAAGAGACAAGGACGGUAUCCCAGGAAUAAGUCUCGGCUAACUACGUG